GAUGAACGCUGGCGGCGUGCCUAAUACAUGCAAGUCGAGCGAACGGACGAGAAGCUUGCUCCUCUGAUGUUAGCGGCGGACGGGUGAGUAACACGUGGAUAACCUACCUAUAAGACUGGGAUAACUUCGGGAAACCGGAGCUAAUACCGGAUAAUAUCUUGAACCGCAUGGUUCAAAAGUGAAAGACGGUCUUGCUGUCACUUAUAGAUGGAUCCGCGCUGCAUUAGCUAGUUGGUAAGGUAACGGCUUACCAAGGCAACGAUGCAUAGCCGACCUGAGAGGGUGAUCGGCCACACUGGAACUGAGACACGGUCCAGACUCCUACGGGAGGCAGCAGUAGGGAAUCUUCCGCAAUGGGCGAAAGCCUGACGGAGCAACGCCGCGUGAGUGAUGAAGGUCUUCGGAUCGUAAAACUCUGUUAUUAGGGAAGAACAUAUGUGUAAGUAACUGUGCACAUCUUGACGGUACCUAAUCAGAAAGCCACGGCUAACUACGUG
rnacentral:rRNA from 1 species